GGACGAACGCUGUCGGCGUGCCUAAUACAUGCAAGUCGAACGCUGCUUAAGAAGAAGCUUCGGUUUUUUCUUAAGCGGAGUGGCGGACGGGUGAGUAACACGUGGGGAACCUAUCUAUCAGCGGGGGAUAACACUUGGAAACAGGUGCUAAUACCGCAUAUGGCUUUUUUUCACCUGAAAGAAAGCUCAAAGGCGCUUUACAGCGUCACUGAUGGCUGGUCCCGCGGUGCAUUAGCCAGUUGGUGAGGUAACGGCUCACCAAAGCAACGAUGCAUAGCCGACCUGAGAGGGUGAUCGGCCACACUGGGACUGAGACACGGCCCAGACUCCUACGGGAGGCAGCAGUAGGGAAUCUUCGGCAAUGGACGCAAGUCUGACCGAGCAACGCCGCGUGAGUGAAGAAGGUUUUCGGAUCGUAAAGCUCUGUUGUCAGCAAAGAACAGGAGAAAGAGGAAAUGCUUUUUCUAUGACGGUAGCUGACCAGAAAGCCACGGCUAACUACGUGCCAGCAGCCGCGGUAAUACGUAGGUGGCAAGCGUUGUCCGGAUUUAUUGGGCGUAAAGCGAGCGCAGGCGGUGAUUUAAGUCUGAUGUGAAAGCCCCCAGCUCAACUGGGGAGGGUCAUUGGAAACUGGAUCACUUGAGUGCAGAAGAGGAGAGUGGAAUUCCAUGUGUAGCGGUGAAAUGCGUAGAUAUAUGGAGGAACACCAGUGGCGAAGGCGGCUCUCUGGUCUGUAACUGACGCUGAGACUCGAAAGCGUGGGUAGCAAACAGGAUUAGAUACCCUGGUAGUCCACGCCGUAAACGAUGAGUGCUAAGUGUUGGAGGGUUUCCACCCUUCAGUGCUGCAGUUAACGCAUUAAGCACUCCGCCUGGGGAGUACGACCGCAAGGUUGAAACUCAAAGGAAUUGACGGGGGCCCGCACAAG
rnacentral:rRNA from 1 species